UACAGAGGUCUCAAGCGUUGUUCGGAUUCAUUGGGCGUAAAGGGCGCGUAGGCGGCGAGGUAAGUCGGGUGUGAAAUCUCAGAGCUCAACUCUGAAACUGCACUCGAUACUGCUUUGCUAGAGGACUGGAGAGGAGAUUGGAAUUCACGGUGUAGCAGCGAAAUGCGUAGAGAUCGUGAGGAAGACCAGUGGCGAAGGCGGCUACCUGGACAAUUGCUGACGCUCAGGCACGAAAGCGUGGGGAGCAAAAGGG
rnacentral:rRNA from 1 species